AGAUUGAUGAGCUGUGCCUCCAAGGAGAACAUCCUCUGAGACCCUGGAUAUUGACCAGUUUUGCUUAUCCUUCGGAAAACUCUUGAUUGUAAAAGUCCUCCUUCCCACGCUCUCUCUCACCUGCCACCAUGUAAGAUGCACCUGCUUCCCUUUCUGGCAUGAUCGCUAGAGGUUGUGCUUCAAUAUAAAGAUCUUGCACUGAAAGGCGAAGAGAUUGAAUUCUGGCUUGUAGAUGGGGCUUGUCAGCCGUCACUGCAACACUUAAGAACCCAUCCACAUCUCUCUUGUCUCAGAGAAGAUUGACUUUCAUCUACCAUUUC
rnacentral:lncRNA from 1 species